rnacentral:rRNA from 1 species
AUUGAACGCUGGCGGCAUGCCUUACACAUGCAAGUCGAACGGCAGCACGGGAGCAAUCCUGGUGGCGAGUGGCGAACGGGUGAGUAAUAUAUCGGAACAUGCCCAGUCGUGGGGGAUAACGUAGCGAAAGCUACGCUAAUACCGCAUACGAUCUAUGGAUGAAAGCGGGGGAUCGCAAGACCUCGCGCGAUUGGAGCGGCCGAUAUCAGAUUAGGUAGUUGGUGAGGUAAAGGCUCACCAAGCCGACGAUCUGUAGCUGGUCUGAGAGGACGACCAGCCACACUGGGACUGAGACACGGCCCAGACUCCUACGGGAGGCAGCAGUGGGGAAUUUUGGACAAUGGGCGCAAGCCUGAUCCAGCAAUGCCGCGUGCAGGAUGAAGGCC